rnacentral:rRNA from 1 species
CCUACGGGGGGCAGCAGUGGGGAAUAUUGCACAAUGGGGGAAACCCUGAUGCAGCAACGCCGCGUGAGUGAUGAAGGUUUUCGGAUCGUAAAGCUCUGUCUUUGGGGAAGAUAAUGACGGUACCCAAGGAGGAAGCCACGGCUAACUACGUGCCAGCAGCCGCGGUAAUACGUAGGUGGCGAGCGUUAUCCGGAUUUACUGGGCGUAAAGGGAGCGUAGGCGGAUGAUUAAGUGGGAUGUGAAAUACCCGGGCUCAACUUGGGUGCUGCAUUCCAAACUGGUUAUCUAGAGUGCAGGAGAGGAGAGUGGAAUUCCUAGUGUAGCGGUGAAAUGCGUAGAGAUUAGGAAGAACACCAGUGGCGAAGGCGACUCUCUGGACUGUAACUGACGCUGAGGCUCGAAAGCGUGGGGAGCAAACAGGAUUAGAUACCCGAGUAGUC